AGGGUUCGAUUCUGGCUCAGGAUGAACGCUGGCGGCGUGCCUAACACAUGCAAGUCGAACGAGCGAGAGAUGAAACCUAGUGAUCUCGAGCGAGUGGCGGACGGGUGAGUAACGCGUGGGUAACCUGCCUUACAGAGGGGGAUAACAGUCUGAAAAGACUGCUAAUACCGCAUAAGCACACAGUACCGCAUGGUACAGGGUGAAAAGAUUUAUCACUGUAAGAUGGACCCGCGUCUGAUUAGCCAGUUGGCAGGGUAACGGCCUACCAAAGCGACGAUCAGUAGCCGACCUGAGAGGGUGAUCGGCCACAUUGGGACUGAGACACGGCCCAAACUCCUACGGGAGGCAGCAGUGGGGGAUAUUGCACAAUGGAGGAAACUCUGAUGCAAGCGACGCCGCGUGAGUGAAGAAGUAUUUCGGUAUGUAAAGCUCUAUCAGCAGGGAAGAUAAUGACAGUACCUGACCAAGAAGCCCCGGCUAACUACGUGCCAGCCGCCGC
rnacentral:rRNA from 1 species